rnacentral:rRNA from 1 species
CCCUUAGAUGUUCUGGGCUGCACGCGUGCUACAAUGGCGCUUGCAACAAGUCUUGCCAACCCGAUAGGGUGAGCGGAUCUUUGAAGAGGCGUCGUGAUCGGGACAGUUGAUUGCAAUUAUUCGACUCGAACGAGGAAUUCCUUGUAAUCGCGAUUCAUCAUAUCGCGCUGAAUACGUCCCUGCCCUUUGUACACACCGCCCGUCGCUACUACCGAUUGAAUGGUUUAGUGAGAAUUUUGGACUGGAACUCCCUUGCUCAGCAAUGGGCGAGGGGGAGUCCGGGAAGCUAUUCUAACUGUAUCAUUUAGAGGAAGUAAAAGUCGUAACA